rnacentral:rRNA from 1 species
UACGUAGGGACCAAGCGUUGUUCGGAUUUACUGGGCGUAAAGGGCGCGUAGGCGGCAAAUCAAGUCAGCUGUGAAAUCUCCGAGCUUAACUCGGAACGGUCAGCUGAUACUGUUUUGCUAGAGUACGGAAGGGGCAAUCGGAAUUCUUGGUGUAGCGGUGAAAUGCGUAGAUAUCAAGAGGAACACCUGAGGUGAAGACGGGUUGCUGGGCUGAUACUGACGCUGAGGCGCGAAAGCUAGGGUAGCAAACGGG